rnacentral:rRNA from 1 species
GAUGAACGCUGGCGGAGUGUAUAAGAGAGGCAAGUCGAGGGAACAGACGAGGAGCUUGCUCCUCUGACGUUAGCGGCGGAAGGGUGAGUAACACGUGGAUAACCUACCUAUAAGACUGGGAUAACUUCGGGAAACCGGAGCUAAUACCGGAUAAUAUAUUGAACCGCAUGGUUCAAUAGUGAAAGACGGUUUUGCUGUCACUUAUAGAUGGAUCCGCGCCGCAUUAGCUAGUUGGUAAGGUAACGGCUUACCAAGGCAACGAUGCGUAGCCGACCUGAGAGGGUGCUCGGCCACACUGGAACUGAGACACGGUCCAGACUCCUACGGGAGGCAGCAGUAGGGAAUCUUCCGCCAUGGGCGAAAGCCUGACGGAGCAACGCCGCGUGAGUGCUGCAGGUCUUCGGAUCGUAACUCUCUCUUCUUCGGGAAGAACAAAUGUGUAAGUCCCUCUGCACGUCUUGACGGUACCUAAUCAGAAAGCCCCGCCUCCCUACGUC